rnacentral:rRNA from 1 species
UAGGGAAGUCUUCCACCAAUGGACGAAAGUCUGAUGGAGCAACGCCGCGUGAGUGAAGAAGGGUUUCGGCUCGUAAAACUCUGUUGUUAAAGAAGAACAUAUCUGAGAGUAACUGUUCAGGUAUUGACGGUAUUUAACCAGAAAGGAACGGCUAAAUACGUGCCAG